GACGAACGCUGGCGGCGUGCUUAACACAUGCAAGUCGAACGGUGAAGCGCCUUCCUUUUUGGUGGGUGUGGAUGAGUGGCGAACGGGUGAGUAACACGUGAGUAACCUGCCCCCUUCUUCUGGAUAACCGCAUGAAAGUGUGGCUAAUACGGGAUAUUCUGUGUCUGUCGCAUGAUGGGUCUUGGGAAGAUAUUGUUUCGGUGGGGGAUGGGCUCGCGGCCUAUCAGCUUGUUGGUGGGGUGAUGGCAUACCAAGGCGGUGACGGGUAUCCGGCCUGAGAGGGUGGACGGUCACAGGGAGACAGAGACGGGGCACAGACUCCUACGGGAGGGAGCAGGGGGGAAUAGGGCACAGUGGGCGCAAGCGUGAUGCAGCGACGCCGCGUGAGGGAUGGAGGCCUUCGGGUUGAGAACCUCUUGCGCCAGUGAAGCAGGCCUGCCUCGUUUGUGGGUGGGUUGACGGUAGCUGGAAAAGAAGCGCCGGCUAACUACGUG
rnacentral:rRNA from 1 species